rnacentral:rRNA from 1 species
UACAGAGGGUGCAAGCGUUAAUCGGAAUUACUGGGCGUAAAGCGUGCGUAGACGGUUACAUAAGUCGGGUGUGAAAGCCCCGGGCUCAACCUGGGAAUUGCAGUGGAAACUAGGGGACUUGAAUCUGGCAGAGGGGGGUGGAAUUCCACGUGUAGCAGUGAAAUGCGUAGAGAUGUGGAGGAACACCGAUGGCGAAGGCAGCCCCCUGGGCUGAGAUUGACGCUCAGGCACGAAAGCGUGGGGAGCAAACAGG